rnacentral:rRNA from 1 species
UACGAAGGGGGCUAGCGUUGCUCGGAAUUACUGGGCGUAAAGCGUACGUAGGCGGCUUUCUAAGUCGGGGGUGAAAUCCUGGAGCUCAACUCCAGAACUGCCUUCGAUACUGGAGAGCUUGAGUCCGGGAGAGGUGAGUGGAACUGCGAGUGUAGAGGUGAAAUUCGUAGAUAUUCGCAAGAACACCAGUGGCGAAGGCGGCUCACUGGCCCGGUACUGACGCUGAGGUGCGAAAGCGUGGGGAGCAAACAGG